CCCCUUCACUCACUCACUCACCCCCCUUCCCCCAACAGUCCAACACACCCUCCUCACACGUUUUCUCUUCAGAGCUUUUUGGUUUUGCCCUCAAACAAACCCUAGCCAUCUAACCUCCACCACCGGCGCAGGGAGUGAGGCACUACCGCCGUCCAUCGCGCUGUCGUCGUGCUCCAGGUCUCCAACCCCUGUUCAUUCUCACAGUCUCGCCAAUUGCAGCUUCUUCGUUGAGAUCGACAUUCGCGUCUGGUUUUCGUCUUCUCAGCCGCACUUCUGCCGUCGUCAGUCGUCGUGUCCGUCGCACUCUAACAGAUCUUCCUCACACUCUGCCCAAACUGCUCACUCCUCCACGCCGCGCGCCUCCUCCACGUCACCGGAGCCCUUGGUCCUGAGAGUCUCGUGUUCGAUUGUCACGGCGGAGGGCCAUAUACCGACGUUGCCGAUGGCCGGAUUCUAAAGUGGGAAGGAGAUGAAGUUGGUUGGACUUAGUUUGCUGUCACCUGUUCCAAUAGUUGUUGCUGAAUGCUAAAACUGGAAAUCAAAUCAAAUGCUGGUUGUUGCUGAAUGAGUAGCUUAGCUGCCUGCCAAUGCCAUAUAUAAAUAAACUGAUGAAUGAUGAUGAUGAUGGUAGUGGAAGGAGAGUCAAAGUGUAUAGGUAGUUGGUGAUAUGUUAUGCUUUCUUAUUCAAUGACUAUUUGUUAAUUGUUAUGUUGAUACCUCAACUUGGAAACAACACUAGAUCCUGUUUAUGGCUUGCUCAGCAAGAAGAAUCUGUUGCUAAGGGAGCUCUCUUACAACGCAACGCUGCCUAAGAUUAAACCGAAAAGGUCAUCUUGCAAGAUUCAGACCGGUUGGACCAGUAAACCAGUGAACCAGUGUAGAACGAUUUGAUGACCGGUCCGAUUUUCAGAACCUUGCCUCAAACAUUCAUACGGCAAAAAAUUCCACUAACCUCGUGGAUCUGGUGGAUGGAAGGCGGAACAAAGAGAUGUUGAUAUGAGUGUGCUGAGAUUCGACCCUAGUCCGUCAGAUCAAGUCGCGGAAGAUACUCCUUUCUUGUAGCUCAGUCGAAGCCAUUUCUCCCUGCAGCUGUUGUUUUUUCUUGUUCGAUGGUAUAUGCCUCUACACACGACGUUGUUUUGUUCGUUUCCAGUGUUUACACUAGUCAUCUAAAUCAUCAGCAAAUUUAUCUUUAAACACUUUCCUAAACACAGCUUUUGAAUUAAAUUAAUAUUUAUAAAUUAACCCCUAUAACUUUUUUAUUUUAUAAAACCUCUCAGGUCCUUAGAGGACCACAUUAUUC